rnacentral:rRNA from 1 species
GACAGAGGGUGCAAACGUUGUUCGGAAUUACUGGGCGUAAAGCGAGUGUAGGCGGUCUGAAAAGUCGGAUGUGAAAGCCCCGGGCUCAACCCGGGAAGUGCAUUCGAAACUGCCAGGCUAGAGUGUCGGAGAGGUUGGUGGAAUUCUCGGUGUAGAGGUGAAAUUCGUAGAUAUCGAGAGGAACACCGGUGGCGAAGGCGGCCAACUGGACGAACACUGACGCUGAGACUCGAAAGGGUGGGGAGCAAACAGG